rnacentral:rRNA from 1 species
AUUGAACGCUGGCGGCAUGCCUUACACAUGCAAGUCGAACGGCAGCACGGGAGCAAUCCUGGUGGCGAGUGGCGAACGGGUGAGUAAUAUAUCGGAACGUGCCCAGUCGUGGGGAUAACGUAGCGAAAGCUACGCUAAUACCGCAUACGAUCUAUGGAUGAAAGCGGGGGAAUCGCAAGACCUCGCGCGAUUGGAGCGGCCGAUAUCAGAUUAGGUAGUUAGGUGAGGUAAAGGACGUCACCAAGCCGACGAUCUGUAGCUGGUCUGAGAGGACGACCAGCCACACUGGGACUGAGACACGGCCCAGACUCUACGGAGGCAGCAGU